rnacentral:rRNA from 1 species
UGGGGAAUUUUGGACAAUGGGCGAAAGCCUGAUCCAGCAAUGCCGCGUGUGUGAAGAAGGCCUUCGGGUUGUAAAGCACUUUUGUCCGGAAAGAAAUCCUUGGCUCUAAUACAGUCGGGGGAUGACGGUACCGGAAGAAUAAGCACCGGCUAACUACGUGCCAGCAGCCGCGGUAAUACGUAGGGUGCAAGCGUUAAUCGGAAUUACUGGGCGUAAAGCGUGCGCAGGCGGUUUGCUAAGACCGAUGUGAAAUCCCCGGGCUCAACCUGGGAACUGCAUUGGUGACUGGCAGGCUAGAGUAUGGCAGAGGGGGGUAGAAUUCCACGUGUAGCAGUGAAAUGCGUAGAGAUGUGGAGGAAUACCGAUGGCGAAGGCAGCCCCCUGGGCCAAUACUGACGCUCAUGCACGAAAGCGUGGGGAGCAAAACAGGAUUAGAUACCCUGGUAGUCCACGCCCUAAAACGAUGUCAACUAGUUGUUGGGGGACUCAUUUCCUUAGUAACGUAGCUAACGCGUGAAGUUGACCGCCUGGGGAGUACGGUCGCAAGAUUAAAACUUAAAGGAAUUGAC